CCGGGCGUAGCGCAGAGGCAGGCGCACCCGUCUUGCCCAGACGAAGACACGCCGGUUCGAAUCCGGCCGUCCGGG
rnacentral:tRNA from 1 species